AUUAAUUUAGGUAAUUAAUCCUAUUUUGAAUAAAUAUUUUGGAGGUUACCUUGUGGGGAGGAUUUGAUGAGGAUGAAUGAACUCGGUUUUGAAUAAAUACCUAUUUUGAUCACUUUUGACCUUGAUUGAGUUGUUAUUGUCCGAUGCUUACGCGUGGGAGUUCUGGUGCCCCUUGAGGGUAAUUUUGUCUUUUUAACUCAAGAAUCCAUGUGUCACCUCCAUAUUUUUCUUGAUUAUUUUUUGCUCCACAAAUACCCCCACACCUGUUGGGUUGCUCGUAAGAAAGGGCAGCAAGUGUAGAGAUCUUCUUGCUUUAGGAAACAUAGAAUUAUUUCCUAUUUUGAUGUAGAUUCCCUCUUUAAUUGGAAAUUAGAUCCUUCUAGGAAAGGGAAAUAAAUUUCUCCCAAUGUCUAUUUAAGUCUACCUUAAGUAGAUAUUAUUAAAUCAACUUUGGAGAACAAUUUAUCCUACCCUACAAGAAAGAGAAAGCUAGAGAUAUUUGUUCCCCCUCCUCUAGCAAUCCUUUACUAUUGCAUGUGCAAAAGACCAUCUUUCGUUGCUUUCUUUGUCUUUUCCAUGCCGCACUGGGGUAAGAAAAAAAAUAAUUUUCCUUGUCUUCUUCUUGGAUAGUGUUGUCGUAGGUCAGCCGUCGAGGUGGUGCGGCAUGUAACGCCCCGCCCCGAAUUAAUCCUUUAAUUCGAGAAAUAAUAUUAUUAUUAUCGAUAGCCCCAAACUAAACUCUACUUUCAUUAUCAAAUCCCAAAUUACAAAACGUUAUUCAAAUUCCUUAAUUCCUUCAACUAGACAUAACCAUAAUUUUAAUUUAUAAGGCAUAUGCUUAGAUUUUUUUUUUUUUUAAAUCUCUAAAUUUUCUUCACUUUAAAAACACUUCUCAACCAAAGGUUAAUUCACAGUUAUUUAACCUUACUUAUCGUAUGGUUGCAUCUAACGUCUCGUUAGACUGCCUACGUACCC
rnacentral:lncRNA from 1 species